rnacentral:tRNA from 1 species
GGAUAGCUCAGUUGGGUAGAGCACAGGACUGAUAAUCCUGCGGUCGCGGGUUCAACUCCCGCUCCA